rnacentral:misc_RNA from 1 species
UAAAAUGUCACCACACCAACAAUCUACAAAAUGUUAAACCAAACAUGAUUAAUCAUGCUUCCAAUCUUUUAUCAGGAAGCAGUAGGAGAAUUGAUACUGGGUUUCUUCAAGGACUUGCAGAAAAAAGAGAAGGCCACUUUAAGUUCAUUUGGAAGAGGGACAGAAAGAGGAAGAGCCAAGGGGUGAUGCGCAUUAUGGUAGUCACUCAAAAGAGCCAAGGGAUGAGAUGCACCACGGUAGCUGCAUUUGUGUCUCAUAGAAAAUGAAUGAGCCAGUGCUGGUUGCUGCUUGUUAAGCCCUUCAAUAAU